rnacentral:sRNA from 1 species
CCUUAGCCCCGAUAGCAGUGAAAUCCUUUUAUGCCGGGGUUCGGCAUAAAAGAUUCGAACGGAUAGCGGGAAAAAGC